GAGGCGGGGUCUUCCGGAUGCCUUGCUGGAAGUUUGUUUUUGCUCUGCAGGAUUAAACAGUUCUCCGUAUCCUGCUUUGAGCGCUACUGUUGGGUGCUGUGAGGGGACCUCAAGUAAGCUCCGUUUUUGAAACAUGAUUUAUUUAUUUAUUAUAUGUAAGUACACUGUAGCUGUCUUCAGACACUCCAGAAGAGGGCAUCAAAACUUGUUACAAAUGGUUGUGAGCCACCAUGUGGUUGCUGGGAUUUGAACUCCGGACCUUCGGAAGAGCUGUUGGGUGCUCUUACCCACUGAGCCAUCUCACCAGCCCAUAAAAUUUCUACUACACCAAAACUAGGAGAAACCAUUUCUUUUCCUUUUCAUUUCUUUUUUU
rnacentral:lncRNA from 1 species